GACGAACGCUGGCGGCGUGCUUAACACAUGCAAGUCGAACGGAAAGGCCCUGCUUUUGUGGGGUGCUCGAGUGGUGAACGGGUGAGUAACACGUGAGUAACCUGCCCUUGACUUUGGGAUAACUUCAGGAAACUGGGGCUAAUACCGGAUAGGAGCUCCUGCUGCAUGGUGGGGGUUGGAAAGUUUCGGCGGUUGGGGAUGGACUCGCGGCUUAUCAGCUUGUUGGUGGGGUAGUGGCUUACCAAGGCUUUGACGGGUAGCCGGCCUGAGAGGGUGACCGGCCACAUUGGGACUGAGAUACGGCCCAGACUCCUACGGGAGGCAGCAGUGGGGAAUAUUGCACAAUGGGCGGAAGCCUGAUGCAGCAACGCCGCGUGCGGGAUGACGGCCUUCGGGUGGUAAACAGAUUUCGCCUGUGACGAAGCGUGAGUGACGGUAAUGGGUAAGAAGCACCGGCUAACUACGUG
rnacentral:rRNA from 1 species